rnacentral:rRNA from 1 species
GACGAACGCUGGCGGCGUGCUUAACACAUGCAAGUCGAACGGAAAGGCCCUGCUUUUGUGGGGUGCUCGAGUGGCGAACGGGUGAGUAACACGUGAGUAACCUGCCCUUGACUUUGGGAUAACUUCAGGAAACUGGGGCUAAUACCGGAUAGGAGCUCCUGCUGCAUGGUGGGGGUUGGAACGUUUCGGCGGUUGGGGAUGGACUCGCGGCUUAUCAGCUUGUUGGUGGGGUAGUGGCUUACCAAGGCUUUGACGGGUAGCCGGCCUGAGAGGGUGACCGGCCACAUUGGGACUGAGAUACGGCCCAGACUCCUACGGGAGGCAGCAGUGGGGAAUAUUGCACAAUGGGCGGAAGCCUGAUGCAGCAACGCCGCGUGCGGGAUGACGGCCUUCGGGUUGUAAACCGCUUUCGCCUGUGACGAAGCGUGAGUGACGGUAAUGUGUAAAGAAGCACCGGCUAACUACGUG